UUCAUGAGUUCUUUAAAGAGGAGACAGAUUGCUAGCAUUUUGGGCUGAAAUCUGGAGGUUAUUUGGGAAUGUGAAAGCUCCUUGCUGCUUGGGUCCAUGACAAACACGCAGAUGCGAUUCAUGCA
rnacentral:lncRNA from 1 species